rnacentral:rRNA from 1 species
GAUGAACGCUGGCGGCGUGCUUAACACAUGCAAGUCGAACGGAAAGGCUCCUGCUUGCAGGGGUACUCGAGUGGCGAACGGGUGAGUAACACGUGGGUGAUCUGCCCUGCACUUCGGGAUAAGCCUGGGAAACUGGGUCUAAUACCGGAUAGGACGAUGGUUUGGAUGCCAUUGUGGAAAGUUUUUCGGUGUGGGUUGAGCUCGCGGCCUAUCAGCUUGUUGGUGGGGUAAUGGCCUACCAAGGCGUCGACGGGUAGCCGGCCUGAGAGGGUGUACGGCCACAUUGGGACUGAGAUACGGCACAGACUCCUACGGGAGGCAGCAGUGGGGAAUAUUGCACAAUGGGAGCAAGCAUGAUGCAGCGCCGCCGCGUGGGGGAUGACGGCCUGCGGGUUGUAAACUACUUUCGCUAGGGACGAAGCGCAAGUGACGGUACCUGGAGAAGAAGCACCGGCUAACUACGUG